UUUCCUACCUUUAUUUAUUGCAAAUUUUGAGAAGCAAAUUCAUAUCUUGAAUAGGUGGAUCAGGUCACUCCUAGAGGCCUCUGAUAGCGUUCCAUCACUGUUAGCAUAAAACUCAAUUUCCUUACCAUAGUCAGCCAGGCCCUUUAUGACAGCACUCCUGUCAGCAUGGUCACUGUCCCCCAAGGACCCCACACUCCAAUCUCAAAUGCUCUAAGUCCUUUCCCACAGCAAGAUGUUUGCACAUGCUGUUCCCUUUUCCCAACUAGCGUUUUCUUCCUCUGCCUUUGCUGCCUGGAUCUUUCGCAUCUGUCACCUCUUUAGGAAAACCAAAAAUAAGUAUGUGAGGUAAGAGUUGAAAGACAGUCUGCCCUCCUCCGCAGAUGCGGAUGUGGAGCCCGCGGGCGAGCGCCGAACCCGCGGAUACGGAGGGCCGACUAAGGCACAGAGCACCCGCGGAUUUCGGUAUCUUCCGGGAGUCCUGGAACAAGUCCCCCGCGGAUACCGAAGGACGACUAGAGAAAAACAGCCCUGAGUCCUAUGGAUGAAAGCAGUGAUUCACGAAUUUACAUGGGCAUGAAGAAUCAUCUAGGUCCUUCCUCCUUAAAUACAAAAGCAAGAAAACCCUGCAGACUGCAAAUUCCCAGACCCCUUCCCUGGAGAUACUGAUGUAGAUCCAGGAAUUUGUCUUUUUUUCUUUUUUAAAUUAGGACCCAGGUGAUUCUGAGAAAGGCCUGCAGAUCAUGCUCUGAGAAACCCUAGAAUGAAGAUGAGCUGUUUAAGCUAUUCUCAGUCACGUGUUGAGCUGUCAUCUGGAGCGAUUUCUGUUUAAGCUCAGAAAGAAACCCAUGAGGAAUAAAAAAAGUCCUUCUGUGAGUGAACUGAAUAAUCUGCAAUGAGAAG
rnacentral:lncRNA from 1 species